UGAUACAAAUUGGUAAAUGUUUCAAAAUGACCAAAGAUUCAGGUAAUAAACUUGUUGACUUUUGCAAUGAAAUUUCAAAUACAUCACCGUCAUCAUCAUCAUCAUCAUCAUCAUCAAGAAGAUGAAGGAAUCAGCCAUUAAUAAGGUAACACUGUGGACUAAUUUAAAUCGAUUUGUAUUAGUUAAAAUGUGAUGUAAUGUGAAGCUGAAAAAACGAAACCAAUGAAAACCAACAUAAGAAAUACCUGCAAACACCUUAACACCUCAUGCAGUGAAUCUGAUAAAUCACAUGCAGAGAAGCAUUUAUCUGAUGUACAUUGAUGAACAUGAUGCUGAAACUACAUGGGUAACUUACGGUCAACUUGAUUAUCUUUUUUUUAUCAUCAUCAUCAUCAUCAUCAUCUCAUUAUCAGUAACUUUCUAACUAUUAACAGACCAUCAAGAGAGAUCAACGUUUCAAAUCAAAAAUGUUGAUUAGCUGAUAAUGAUUGAAAGUGAUUCUAAUCAUUGGUUUGCAAUAUCAUGUUGAUGAUAUGGUUAACAGUAUUAAUAGUUGUUGAUAUUUACUUUGCAAUGUUUUUAUUGAUGCAAACACAAUCUGCACAAAAUAUGCCCUAAGGUGUUAUUGUGACUUUUUCAUCUCUACAUCAUUUACUUUCUGAAACUUUUUUUUAUCAUCAGUCUGCAUCAUCUCAUAUCAAUGAGAUUCAGAGGAUUCCAUGGAUUCAUCAUCAUCAUCAACAUGCUAAUAUAAUCUUUGAAUGAGUAUGAACCAUUCAUUCAAUUACCCUGAUUAUCAUCAAGUUACAAUUUGGAAUCCAAAUUCAAUUUCAAUGGAAAUCAUUUUAUCACUCAAUUAAUAUCAUGGAUGAGAUGGCGAAAAAAUCUUGCUCGUUUUGAAUCAUUGAACCAUUGAGACAGAACUUUUUUUUUCACUUCUCAUUUUUCCUUCAACAUUUUACUUGUCAGAAAAAUGAUAAUAAAAAGACAAAGAUGAUAAUGAUGGAUUCUAUGGGAGAACCAGAGCCAGAGAGAGAAAAUGAACAAAAAGAAUAAAUUUUCUUCAUUUUUUGCUAGUUUUCGAAAGCAGGAAAAAAUAAUACACCCAAAAUUUCAGAGCCUCUCAUGAUAACAUCAAUUCCCUAUCAACAAUACCUUUGAUUUCCCAUUAUGUUUAUCAAACAUCAUUCGUUUACCUUUCCAACAAUCAACUGGGAAUCAGAACUUUUUUUUUCUUCAUUUUUCCAUCCAUCAUGAAACAGAUUCAACAGUAAUAAUAAUCAACACAGAAGAAUCAAAGUGAAUCAUGUCCAAUAUAAAAAUUUUCGAUUCUUUUUCUAUUAAUAUCUCAUCUCAAUCAGAAUGAGAAUUUUCUGUUCUCAUGGAAAUAAAGAUACAAUUUCAUGAGUAUAAAAAAAGAUUCAUUAUAUUGAACAUUCCAAGAAGAAGAGACUGAGUAUCUCUCCAAGAAAAAGUAAUCAUGGAAUGAAAAUUAUUCACAGAAAAUAUAAUAAUAAAGAAU